rnacentral:rRNA from 1 species
UCCGGGGGGUGCGAUCGUUAUUCGGAAUUAUUGGGCGUAAAGGGCGCGCAGGCGGUUGAAUAAGUCAGGUGUGAAAGCCCUUGGCUUAACCAAGGAAGUGCAUUUGAUACUAUUUGACUUGAGUAUGGGAGGGGGAAGUGGAAUUCCUGGUGUAGAGGUGAAAUUCGUAGAUAUCAGGAGGAACACCGGUGGCGAAAGCGACUUCCUGGACCAAUACUGACGCUGAGGCGCGAAGGCGUGGGGAGCAAACAGG